UACGGAGGGGGCUAGCGCUGUUCGGAAUUACUGGGCGUAAAGCGCGCGUAGGCGGACCUGCAAGUCGGGGGUGAAAGCCCGAGGCUCAACCUCGGAACUGCCUUCGAUACUGGGAAGCUCGAGUCCGGGAGAGGUGAGUGGAACUGCGAGUGUAGAGGUGAAAUUCGUAGAUAUUCGCAAGAACACCAGUGGCGAAGGCGGCUCACUGGCCCGGUACUGACGCUGAGGUGCGAAAGCGUGGGGAGCAAACAGG
rnacentral:rRNA from 1 species